rnacentral:rRNA from 1 species
CCUACGGGUGGCAGCAGUGAGGAAUAUUGGUCAAUGGACGCAAGUCUGAACCAGCCAAGCAGCGUGAAGGAUGACUGCCCUAUGAGUUGUAAACUGCUUUUGUACGGGAAUAAUAGUACUCACGUGUACGUAUUUGUAUGUAUUUUACGAAUAAGGAUCGGCUAACUCCGUGCCAGCAGCCGCGGUAAUACGGAGGAUUCGAGCGUUAUCCGGAUUUAUUGGGUUUAAAGGGAGCGUAGACUGGUUGUUAAGUUAGUUGUGAAAGGUUGCGGCUUAACCGUAAGAUUGCCAUUGAUACUGGCAGACUAGAGUGCGGUUGAAGCAGGCGGAAUGAGUGGUGUAGCGGUGAAAUGCUUAGAUAUCACGAAGAACUCCGAUUGCGAAGGCAGCCUGCUAAACUGCCACUGACAUUGAUGCUCGAAAGUGUGGGUAGCGAACAGGAUUAGAUACCCGAGUAGUC